ensembl:lncRNA
UAUCUGCAGCAACCACAUCUUUGUCUUUUUGCUGUCCGAGACAUUAAACCAGGAGAAGAGAUUACUUACAGCUAUGGAGACUGGGAUUGGCAAGCCAAGCGUUCAUCACCUGCUCCUGUGACUGCUACAUCAUCCUCAUCCUCAUCCUCACCUGUGAGGAAAAGUUCAUCACCUGCCCCUGUUACUGCUACAUCAUCCUCAUCCUCAUCUGUGAGGAAAAGUUCAUCACCUGCCCCUGUGACUGCUACAUCAUCCUCAUCCUCAACUGUGAGGAAACGUUCAUCACCUGCCCCUGUGACUGCUACAUCAUCCUCAUCCUCACCUGUGAGGAAAAGUUCAUCACCUGCCCCUGUGACUGCUACAUCAUCCUCAUCCUCACCUGUGAGGAAACGUUCAUCACCUGCCCCUGUGACUGCUACAUCAUCCUCAUCCUCACCUGUGAGGAAAAGUUCAUCAUCUGCCCCUGUGACUGCUACAUCAUCCUCAUCCUCACCUGUGAGGAAACGUUCAUCACCUACCCCUGUGACUGCUACAUCAUCCUCAUCCUCACCUGUGAGGCAGCGUUCAUCAUCUGCCCCUGUUACUGCUACAUCAUCCUCAUCCUCAUCCUCACCUGUGAGGAAAAGUUCAUCACCUGCUCGUGUGACUGCUACAUCAUCUUCAUCCUCACCUGUGAGGAAAAGUUCAUCACCUGCCCCUGUGACUGCUACAUCAUCCUCAUCCUCACCUGUGAGGAAAAGUUCAUCACCUGCCCCUGUGACUGCUACAUCAUCCUCAUCCUCACCUGUGAGGAAACGUUCAUCACCUGCUCCUGUUACUGCUACAUCAUCCUCAUCCUCACCUGUGAGGAAAAGUUCAUCACCUGCCCCUGUGACUGCUACAUCAUCCUCAUCCUCACCUGUGAGGCAGCGUUCAUCAAGAAAAAGACAGGAGAGGUUUCAGUCAAGAUUGGUCAAACUACGGGAACAUCAUAACAAUUGCUCCAAGCGCUUCAAUAGAGCAGAAGUUGAAAAAACCAACAGAACAAAAAAGACUGCCAUACUUGAGGAUUGCGUUGUGAGUAAAGUGUAAACAUGAUCAUCACAUUACUUUAACACCUCAGUGUAUUUAAAAGGGGUCUUAUUCUGCGUUUUCACUUUUGCAGCUCUAGGUUUUCGUCGGUCGAGAGGGAGCUGCUGUUGUAGUGGAGUAUUGUUGUCAUUGCCCCCAAAAACAAAAGAAAGGAAAACUGCUCUUGACUGAAUCACUUAUUAACUUAAAUAAGAAUCAUCUAUAUUUAAUGUAUAGAGUGAAGAUUAUUUUUACAUUAAUUACUUCAUAAAAAUAUCUGUAGUAGGCUAUUUUUAGAAGCCUUUACUUGGCUACUAUCUGAAAAGAAAACUAUUUAAUUUGUAUUUGUGAGUAAUAUAUUCAUAUAUCAUUUAGCUUGUAAGUAAUAUUUAGUGUUUAAUUGCCUUCA